AGAGUUUGAUCCUGGCUCAGGACGAACGCUGGCGGCGCGCCUAACACAUGCAAGUCGAACGAGCGAGAGAGAGCUUGCUUUCUUGAGCGAGUGGCGAACGGGUGAGUAACGCGUGAGGAACCUGCCUCAAAGAGGGGGACAACAGUUGGAAACGACUGCUAAUACCGCAUAAGCCCACGGUGCCGCAUGGCACAGAGGGAAAAGGAGUAAUCCGCUUUGAGAUGGCCUCGCGUCCGAUUAGCUAGUUGGUGAGGUAACGGCCCACCAAGGCGACGAUCGGUAGCCGGACUGAGAGGUUGAACGGCCACAUUGGGACUGAGACACGGCCCAGACUCCUACGGGAGGCAGCAGUGGGGAAUAUUGCACAAUGGGGGAAACCCUGAUGCAGCGACGCCGCGUGGAGGAAGAAGGUCUUCGGAUUGUAAACUCCUGUUGUUGAGGAAGAUAAUGACGGUACUCAACAAGGAAGUGACGGCUAACUACGUGCCAGCAGCCGCGGUAAAACGUAGGUCACAAGCGUUGUCCGGAAUUACUGGGUGUAAAGGGAGCGCAGGCGGGAAGACAAGUUGGAAGUGAAAUCCAUGGGCUCAACCCAUGAACUGCUUUCAAAACUGUUUUUCUUGAGUAGUGCAGAGGUAGGCGGAAUUCCCGGUGUAGCGGUGGAAUGCGUAGAUAUCGGGAGGAACACCAGUGGCGAAGGCGGCCUACUGGGCACCAACUGACGCUGAGGCUCGAAAGUGUGGGUAGCAAACAGGAUUAGAUACCCUGGUAGUCCACACUGUAAACGAUGAUUACUAGGUGUUGGAGGAUUGACCCCUUCAGUGCCGCAGUUAACACAAUAAGUAAUCCACCUGGGGAGUACGACCGCAAGGUUGAAACUCAAAGGAAUUGACGGGGGCCCGCACAAGCAGUGGAGUAUGUGGUUUAAUUCGACGCAACGCGAAGAACCUUACCAAGUCUUGACAUCCCUUGACGAUGCUGGAAACAGUAUUUCUCUUCGGAGCAAGGAGACAGGUGGUGCAUGGUUGUCGUCAGCUCGUGUCGUGAGAUGUUGGGUUAAGUCCCGCAACGAGCGCAACCCUUAUGGUCAGUUACUACGCAAGAGGACUCUGGCCAGACUGCCGUUGACAAAACGGAGGAAGGUGGGGAUGACGUCAAAUCAUCAUGCCCUUUAUGACUUGGGCUACACACGUACUACAAUGGCGUUAAACAAAGAGAAGCAAGACCGCGAGGUGGAGCAAAACUCAGAAACAACGUCCCAGUUCGGACUGCAGGCUGCAACUCGCCUGCACGAAGUCGGAAUUGCUAGUAAUCGCAGAUCAGCAUGCUGCGGUGAAUAAAUGCCCGGGCCUUGCACUCACCGCCCGUCA
rnacentral:rRNA from 1 species